rnacentral:rRNA from 1 species
GGUAAGUCCGUGCAAGUAGCCGCGGUAAACGUUAAGGGGGGUGCGUUGUCCGGAAGCAUGGGGCGUAAAGAGCGUGUAGGCGGGUCAAUAAGUUUGCUGUGAAAGUCCAGGGGUCAACCCUUGGAUGCCGGUGGAUACUGUUGAACUCGAGUCCGGAAGAGGCAAGUUGAAUUCCUGGUGUAGCGGUGAAAUGCGCAGAUAUCAGGAGGAACACCAAUGGCGAAGGCAGCUUGCUGGGACGUGACUGACGCUGAGACGCGAAAGCGUGGGGAGCAAACAGGAUUAGAUACCCGAGUAGUC